rnacentral:SRP_RNA from 1 species
GCGUGUAGCGGGAGCUAAGUGCUACACCGUGGGAGUGCGGUGGGAGCCACCUCUAGAAUCCCGGCGCCCGGUGGGUCCUGGUGAUUGUGAUUGUGUGGGCUUGUCGGUCCCGACAAGCCCACACAACACAAUCACCAGGACCCAGCGCCGGGAUUCUAGAGGUGGCUCCCACCGCACUCCCACAGUG